rnacentral:rRNA from 1 species
UGGUGGAGUGAUUUGUCUGCUUAAUUGCGAUAACGAACGAGAUCUUGACCUGCUAAAUAGCCCGAUCUGCCUUGGCAGUUCGCCGGCUUCUUAGAGGGACUCUCGACUCAAGUCGAUGGAAGUGCGAGACAAUAACA